AUUCAUAUAGAUCAUAUUAUAGAUCAUAACACUGAAGCUGUUAAAGAGGUUAAUUUAACCUGUGAAUA
rnacentral:tRNA from 1 species